rnacentral:rRNA from 1 species
AAUGGCUCAUUAAAACAGUUAUAGUUUAUUUGAUAAUUAAAGAUUACAUGGAUAACCGAGCUAAUUGUUGGGCUAAUACAUGCUUAAAAUUCCGUGUCCUGUGACCGGAACGUAUUUAUUAGAUAUUAGACCAAUCGCAGUAAUGUGAUUGAGAUGAAUCAAAGUAACUGAUCGAAUCGUAGCUUGCUACGAUAAAUCAUCUAAGUUUCUGCCCUAUCAGCUCUCGAUGGUAGUGUAUUGGACUACCAUGGCAGUCACGGGUAACGGAGAAUUAGGGUUCGAUUCCGGAGAAGGAGCCUGAGAAACGACUACUACAACUACGGUUCGGCAGCAGGGAAGAAAAUUGGCCAAUCCUAAUUCAGGGAGCCAGUGACAAGAAAUAGCAAGCUGGGAAACUAAGUUUCUACGGCAUUGAAAUGAGAAAAGUGUUAAUCUCUUAGCGAGGAACAAUUGGAGGGCAAGUCAUGGUGCCAGCAGCCGCGGUAAUUCCAGCUCCAAUAGCGUAUAUUAAAGUUGUUGCAGUUAAAAAGCUCGUAGUUGAACUUCUGUUCAGGUUCAUUUCGACUCGUCGAGUGAAACUGGGCAUACGUCUGCAAACUAAAAUCGGCCUUCACUGGUUCGACUUAGGGAGUAGGCAUUUUACUGUGAAAAAAUUAGAGUGUUUCAGGCAGGUUUUAGCCCGAAUACAUUAGCAUGGAAUAAUGGAAUAGGACUAAGUCCAUUUUAUUG